ACGCUCGACAGUGCCAGCAGCCGCGGUAAUACAGAGGGUGCGAGCGUUAAUUCGGAUUUACUGGGCGUAAAAGCGUGCGUAGGCGGCUUUUUAAGUCGGAUGUGAAAUCCCCGAGCUUAACUUGGGAAUUGCAUUCGAUACUGGGAAGCUAGAGUAUGGGGAGAGGAUGGUAGAAUUCCAGGGUGUAGCGGUGAAAUGCGUAGAGAUCUGGAGGAAUACCGAUGGCGAAGGCAGCCAUCUGGCCUAAUACUGACGCUGAGGUACG
rnacentral:rRNA from 1 species